AUUGAACGCUGGCGGCAUGCCUUACACAUGCAAGUCGAACGGUAACAGGUUAAGCUGACGAGUGGCGAACGGGUGAGUAAUAUAUCGGAACGUGCCCAGUCGUGGGGGAUAACUGCUCGAAAGAGCAGCUAAUACCGCAUACGACCUGAGGGUGAAAGCGGGGGAUCGCAAGACCUCGCGCGAUUGGAGCGGCCGAUAUCAGAUUAGGUAGUUGGUGGGGUAAAGGCCCACCAAGCCAACGAUCUGUAGCUGGUCUGAGAGGACGACCAGACAAACGGGGAUUGAGAAACGGCCCAGACUCCUACGGGAGGCAGCAGUGGGGAAUUUUGGAGAAUGGGCGCAAGCCUGAUCCAGCCAUGCCGCGUGCGGGAAGAAGGCCUUCGGGUUGUAAACCGCUUUUGUCAGGGAAGAAAAGGCUUCUGCUAAUACCGGAGGCUCAUGACGGUACCUGAAGAAUAAGCACCGGCUAACUACGUGCCAGCCGCCGCAGUAA
rnacentral:rRNA from 1 species